GCUGGGAGCACUGGCAGAGAGGGAGGAAUCUGAGAUGAGGCAAAACUUGGCAAGACAAUAUAAGCAAGGAAGGCUUGAGUUCUGUCAAGUUUCAUAAGGUCAUGGAAUUGAUCAUGCAGAGUCCAGGAAGAGAACUUUUCCCCAUCCCCGCCCUGCAUCUCCAGCAUGGCAGAUACAUGAAAGAGAGGUUCACCUUCUGCUGAAGAAUUAAGACAAACAUUCAGCAGUGGAAGGACACCCAUGCCAGACUUGAUGGUCUAACCCAGUAUAGCUGUUUCCAUGGCUUCAAUGCACAAUAGGAGUGAGGAUGCUGUUUCCAUGUUGACUCACUGGAAGAGAUGGAUGGUGAACUUCUUUCAUGUGACUGUAACUGGCAGCUUCAGUAACUGUUAGUUAUAAUGUCUAUCAAACGUGCCAGACUUCACCAAUUUAAAAGUCUCUGACUGUGAGCAAAUUUCUUUGCAGAAUUCUGAGUGAACUUCACUGACUCAUUCAGUUCACGUCAAUUCACAGUGAA